AUUGAACGCUGGCGGCAGGCCUAACACAUGCAAGUCGAGCGAGCGGCGGACGGGUGAGUAAUGUAUGGGGACUGCCCGAUAGAGGGGGAUAAAUACUGGAAACGGUGGCUAAUACAGCAUACAGUCGGAAAACCCAUAAGGGAUUAGCUCGUAGGUAAGGGAAUGGCUUACCUAGGCGACGAUCCCUAGCUGGUCUGAGAGGAUGAUCCGCCACACUGGGACUGAGACACGGCCCAGACCCCUACGGAGGCAGCAGGGGGGAAUAUUGCACAAUGGGCGCAAGCCUGAUGCAGCCAUGCCGCGUGUAUGAAGAAGGCCCUAGGGUUGUAAAGGACUUUCAGUCGGGAGGCGUUACCGACAGAAGAAGCACCGGCUAACUCCGUGCCAGCAGCCGCGGUAAUAC
rnacentral:rRNA from 1 species